rnacentral:tRNA from 1 species
AAUUAGAUGACUGAAAGUAAGUAAUGGUCUCUUAAACCAAUUUAUAGUAGAAAGCAACACCUACUUCUAAUGA